AGCUCCAAUAGCGUAUAUUUAAGUUGUUGCAGUUAAAAAGCUCGUAGUUGGAUCUUGGGACGUAAAGGUCGGUCCGCCUACUCGGUGUGCACCUGCCCUUCCGUCCCUUUUGUCGGCGGCGUGCUCCUGGCCUUAAUUGGCUGGGUCGCGGUUCCGGCGCUGUUACUUUGAAAAAAUUAGAGUGCUCAAAGCAAGCUUAUGCUCUGAAUACAUUAGCAUGGAAUAACGUGAUAGGAGUCUGGUCCUAUUGUGUUGGCCUUCGGGACCGGAGUAAUGAUUAAUAGGGACUGUCGGGGGCAUUCGUAUUUCAUUGUCAGAGGUGAAAUUCUUGGAUUUAUGAAAGACGAACCACUGCGAAAGCAUUUGCCAAGGAUGUUUUCA
rnacentral:rRNA from 1 species